rnacentral:tRNA from 1 species
GUCCCUGUAGCACAGUUGAUAGCGCGUUGGACUUCUAAUCCAAGGGUCGUGGGUUCGAAUCCUAUCUGGAAUG